UACGUAGGGGGCAAGCGUUGUCCGGAUUUAUUGGGCGUAAAGAGCUCGUAGGUGGUUUGGUAAGUCGGAUGUGAAAUCUCCAGGCUCAACCUGGAGGGGUCAUUCGAUACUGCCGUGACUAGAGUUCGGUAGGGGAGUGUGGAAUUCCUGGUGGAGCGGUGAAAUGCGCAGAUAUCAGGAGGAACACCGAUGGCGAAGGCAGGUCUCUGGGCCACUACUGACGCUGAGAAGCGAAAGCAUGGGGAGCGAACAGG
rnacentral:rRNA from 1 species